GAGUAAAAAUAAUUAGUUAAAUUCAUGCAUAAAUUGGGAAAACUCCCAUUGGCUGUUGCAUCACUCAUUGCGCACAUGAUGUUGUGGGGCGGAGCUACGUCAUCAGCAGCAGAGUCUCUAUAAUCUCCCUGCUGCUAAGACUUCUCAUGCAACAUCGAUGCAAUGUAUUCUAACCAGCCUUUUGGUCGUGUUUGUCCCAGUUUUGUCUGUCAGGCCCAGUAAAGCAUCCUUGA